rnacentral:rRNA from 1 species
CAAUAGCGUAUAUUAAAGUUGUUGCGGUUAAAAAGUUCGUAGUUGGAUUUCUGCCAAGGACGACCGGUCCGCCCUCUGGGUGAGUAUCUGGCUUGGCCUGGGCAUCUUCUUGGAGAACGUUGCUGCACUUCGCUGUGUGGCGCGGUAUCCAGGACCUUUACUUUGAGGAAAUUAGAGUGUUUCAAGCAGGCUUUCGCCUUGAAUACAUUAGCAUGGAAUAAUAAGAUAGGACCUCGGUUCUAUUUUGUUGGUUUCUAGAGCUGGGGUAAUGAUUAAUAGGGAUAGUUGGGGGCAUUCGUAUUUAACUGUCAGAGGUGAAAUUCUUGGAUUUGUUGAAGACGGACUACUGCGAAAGCAUUUGCCAAGGAUGUUUUCAUUGA